rnacentral:rRNA from 1 species
GUGGGGAAUAUUGCACAAUGGGCGCAAGCCUGAUGCAGCAAUGCCGCGUGUGUGAAGAAGGCCUGCGGGUUGUAAAGCACUUUCAGUAGGGAAGAAAACCCCAGGGUCAAUACCCCUGAGGCUUGACGUUACUUACAGAAGAAGCACCGGCUAACUCCGUGCCAGCAGCCGCGGUAAUACGGAGGGUGCGAGCGUUAAUCGGAAUUACUGGGCGUAAAGCGCGCGUAGGUGGCUUAGUAAGUCGGUUGUGAAAGCCCCGGGCUCAACCUGGGAAUUGCAUUCGAUACUGCUAGGCUAGAGUAUGGGAGAGGGAAGUGGAAUUCCGGGUGUAGCGGUGAAAUGCGUAGAUAUCCGGAGGAACACCAGUGGCGAAGGCGGCUUCCUGGACCAAUACUGACACUGAGGUGCGAAAGCGUGGGGAGCAAACAGGAUUAGAAACCCUGGUAGUCC